rnacentral:rRNA from 1 species
UGCCAGCCGCCGCGGUAAUACGGAGGGGGCCAGCGUUGUUCGGAAUUAUUGGGCGUAAAGGGCGCGUAGGCGGUCGGGCAAGUCGGAGGUGAAAUCCCUCGGCUCAACCGAGGAAUUGCCCCCGAUACUGCCUGACUUGAGUCCCGGAGAGGGUAGCGGAAUUCCUAGUGUAGCGGUGAAAUGCGUAGAUAUUAGGAGGAACACCAGUGGCGAAGGCGGCUACCUGGACGGGUACUGACGCUGAGGCGCGAAAGCGUGGGGAGCAAACAGGAUUAGAUA